ensembl:misc_RNA Metazoa_SRP Metazoan signal recognition particle RNA
GCUGGGCGUGGUGGUACGCGCCUGUAAUCCUAGCCACUCAGGAGGCUGAGGCAGGAGAAUUGCUUGAGCCCAGGAAGGGGAGGCUGCAGUGAGCCAAGAUUGCACCACUGCACUCCAGCCUGGGCGACAGAGCGAGAUUCUGUCUCAA